rnacentral:rRNA from 1 species
AUUGAACGCUGGCGGCAGGCCUAACACAUGCAAGUCGAACGAGUGGCGGACGGGUGAGUAAUGUCUGGGAAACUGCCUGAUGGAGGGGGAUAACUACUGGAAACGGUAGCUAAUACCGCAUACCAUCAGAUGUGCCCAGAUGGGAUUAGCUAGUAGGUGGGGUAAAGGCUCACCUAGGCGACGAUCCCUAGCUGGUCUGAGAGGAUGACCAGCAAACCUGGAACUGAGACACGGGCCAGACUCCUACGGGAGGCAGCAGUGGGGAAUAUUGCACAAUGGGCGCAAGCCUGAUGCAGCCAUGCCGCGUGUGUGAAGAAGGCCUUCGGGUUGUAAAGCACUUUCAGCGAGGAGGCGUUACCCGCAGAAGAAGCACCGGCUAACUCCGUGCCAGCCGCCGCGGUAAUUC